AGAGCGAACGCUGGCGGCGUGCUUAACACAUGCAAGUCGAACGCGCAGCAUUCUGUAGCAAUACAGGAUGUGGGCGCGUGGCGAACGGGUGCGUAACACGUGGAUAACCUUCCUUCAGGUGGGGAAUAACCCAGUGAAAAUUGGGCUAAUACCGCAUAACAAUGCGAGAGCACAUGCUCUUGCUUUCAAAGGCGCAAGUCGCCAGAAGAGGGAUCCGCGGCCGAUUAGCUAGUUGGCGGGGUAACGGCCCACCAAGGCUUUGAUCGGUAGCCGGACUGAGAGGUUGGCCGGCCACACUGGAACUGAGACACGGUCCAGACUCCUACGGGAGGCAGCAGUGGGGAAUCUUGCACAAUGGACGAAAGUCUGAUGCAGCAACGCCGCGUGGGGGAUGAAGCUUCUCGGAGUGUAAACCCCUUUGACCCGGAAGAAUGCCCGCAAGGGUUUGACGGUACGGGUAUAAGAAGCCCGGCUAACUACGUGCCAGCAGCCG
rnacentral:rRNA from 1 species